rnacentral:rRNA from 1 species
UACGUAGGGUGCGAGCGUUGUCCGGAUUUACUGGGCGUAAAGGGCGCGCAGGCGGUUCUGUUUGUCGAGUGUGAAAGCCCCGGGCUCAACCUGGGAACUGCGCUCGAAACGGCGGAACUAGAGUUCGGGAGAGGAGAGUGGAAUUCCCAGUGUAGAGGUGAAGUUCGUAGAUAUUGGGAAGAACACCGGUGGCGAAGGCGGCUCUCUGGACCGAUACUGACGCUGAGGCGCGAAAGCGUGGGGAGCAAACAGG